rnacentral:rRNA from 1 species
AGAGUUUGAUCCUGGCUCAGGACGAACGCUGGCGGUGUGCCUCACACAUGCAAGUCGAACGAGGUAGCAAUACCUAGUGGCGGACGGGUGAGUAACGCGUGGGAAUCUGCCUUUAGAUGGGGGAUAGCUAGCCGAAAGGCUAAUUAAUACCGCAUAUGUGCAUAACUCGACAGGGUUGUGCAUGAAAGGAGUAAUCCGUC